rnacentral:rRNA from 1 species
CAACGAGCGCAACCCUCGCCUUUAGUUGCCAUCAUUCAGUUGGGCACUCUAGAGGGACCGCCGGCGACAAGCCGGAGGAAGGUGGGGAUGACGUCAAGUCCUCAUGGCCCUUACACCCUGGGCUACACACGUGCUACAAUGGCGGUGACAGUGGGCAGCUACUUCGCGAGAAGCGGCUAAUCCCAAAAAACCGUCCCAGUUCGGAUUGCACUCUGCAACUCGAGUGCAUGAAGGUGGAAUCGCUAGUAAUCGCAGAACAGCAGGCUGCGGUGAAUACGUUCCCGGGCCUUGUACACACCGCCCGUCACGGCAUGGGAGUUGGUUCUACCUUAAGACGGUGCGCUAACCCGCAAGGGAGGCAGCCGGCCACGGUAGGAUCAGCGACUGGGCCGAAGUCGUAACAAGUAAC